CAGGAACACCCUAUUCAUUCCCUGCCUGCUGCUUAUCCUGCUCUGGAAUGGGUCUCCUGCAGCUGGGAGGGCUCAGCCUCAGGAGGAGCUUCCUGCUCUCCACAGCUCCCUGAGCAGAGCCUGGAGCCAGGUGGAGGUUGUUCUUUUCUCCCAGGCUUUGCUGAUAAAUGCUGUCUCCGUGUUCCCGGCCGUGAUGGACUCGUUAUCAGGCACUGCCCGGCGAGGAAGCGACCUGUGACCCCGCCCGGGGACACGGGGUGAGCCCGAGGGAGCCGCCCUUAUCGGCCCUGGGGAAAAGCUUCCCUUUUAAAAGCUUCCCAUAGCACAGGAGCCUCGGCCGAGCCCCAACAGCCACGGGGAGGAGGAGGAAGACAGGGAUCCCACCCGCGUUAUCAGAGGGAUGAGAUAAGAGCGGCCGCAGGGAAGGUGACACGGGAC